CGUAGGUGGCAAGCGUUGUCCGGAAUUAUUGGGCGUAAAGCGCGCGCAGGCGGUUCCUUAAGUCUGAUGUGAAAGCCCCCGGCUCAACCGGGGAGGGUCAUUGGAAACUGGGGAACUUGAGUGCGGAAGAGAAGAGCGGAAUUCCACGUGUAGCGGUGAAAUGCGUAGAGAUGUGGAGGAACACCAGUGGCGAAGGCGGCUCUUUGGUCUGUAACUGACGCUGAGGCGCGAAAGCGUGGGGAGCAAACAGGAUUAGAUACCCUGGUAGUCCACGCCGUAAACGAUGAGUGCUAAGUGUUAGAGGGUUUCCGCCCUUUAGUGCUGCAGCUAACGCAUUAAGCACUCCGCCUGGGGAGUACGGCCGCAAGGCUG
rnacentral:rRNA from 1 species